rnacentral:sRNA from 1 species
GGGGCUCCGCGCUCGUCCGGCCGGCCCCGGCCUCGCCGCCCCGCGCAGUACCCACCCGGCCCCGCCGACCCGCCUCUACUGCCGGCUCCGCGCCCUUCCCCGGGGGCUGGAUGAUGGGCUGUUUCGCCCUGCAAACGGUGGACACCGAGCUGACGGCGGACUCGGUGGAGUGGUGCCCGCUGCAAGGCUGCAGGCACCUGCUGGCGUGCGGGACCUACCAGCUGCGGCGGCCGGAGGACCGGCCUGCCGGCCCCCAGAAUAAGGUGUCACAUCCCGGUGGCUGGACAUGCCCUCUUGGGCUUGGCAGAUGCCAGUGGAUCCAUACAACUGCUCCGCCUGGUGGAAUCUGAGAAGAGCCACGUGCUGGAGCCAUUGUCCAGCCUUGCCCUGGAGGAGCAGUGUCUGGCUUUGUCCCUCGAUUGGUCCACUGGGAAAACUGGAAGGGCGGGGGACCAGCCCUUGAAGAUCAUCAGCAGUGACUCCACAGGGCAGCUCCACCUCCUGAUGGUGAAUGAGACGAGGCCCAGGCUGCAGAAAGUGGCCUCAUGGCAGGCACAUCAAUUCGAGGCCUGGAUUGCUGCUUUCAAUUACUGGCAUACAGAAAUUGUGUAUUCAGGGGGUGACGAUGGCCUUCUGAGGGGCUGGGACACCAGGGUACCCGGCAAAUUUCUCUUCACCAGCAAAAGGUAACUGCCCAAGGGCCAGCACUCGGUGCCCACACCAGCCCUCCCGUUCCCUGGGUCACCAGCCCACCCGUUCCCUGGGUCACCAGCCCUCCCGUUCCCUGGGUCAUCAGCCCUCCCGUUCCCUGGGUGAGUCUGUGUGCUGGACACUGGUACAGAAGCCGCCUCUGCUUGCAGACACACCAUGGGUGUGUGCAGCAUCCAGAGCAGCCCUCAUCGGGAGCACAUCCUGGCCACGGGAAGCUAUGAUGAACACAUCCUACUGUGGGACACACGAAACAUGAAGCAGCCGUUGGCAGACACGCCCGUGCAGGGUGGGGUAUGGAGAAUCAAGUGGCACCCUUUCCACCACCACCUGCUCCUGGCCGCCUGCAUGCACAGUGGCUUUAAGAUCCUCAACUGCCAAAAGGCAAUGG